rnacentral:rRNA from 1 species
AUGGCAUCCACCUUUUACUUCCUGCUCCUUGCUGCUCUUCUUGCGUUGGUCUCAUGGCAGGCCACUGCCUCCGACCCUAGCCCACUCCAGGACUUUUGUAUCGCCGACUUGCAUUCACCAGGUACUAUCUGGGUUAUCAUCAUGUUCACACCAAAUACAUGUGGAAAAGUGAAUUUCUGGAGAUUAUAUGUAUACAAGCUGAAACAACUUUGUAAGAUACGAGCUUACAUGUUACAUCUUCUCUAUGCACCAGUGGAUGUCAAUGGGUUUGUUUGCAAGAACCCGAUGGAAGUUAACACAGACGACUUCUUCAAGGCAGCCAACCUCGACAAGCCUAGGGUGACCAACAAGGUGGGAUCAAACGUCACUUUGAUCAACGUCAUGCAGAUUGCUGGACUCAACACCCUCGGCAUCUCAAUUGCGCGCAUCGACUAUGCUCCAUUGGGUCAAAACCCACCACAUACACACCCUCGCGCCACCGAGAUCCUCACGGUGCUCGAGGGGACAUUGUACGUUGGCUUUGUCACAUCUAACCAGCCCGCCCCCAACAGAAACAAGUUCCUCUCCAAGGUGCUCAACAAAGGUGAUGUGUUUGUCUUCCCCGUGGGGCUCAUUCACUUCCAAUUCAACCCCAACCCCCAAAACCCCGCUGUUGCAAUUGCCGCGCUCAGCAGCCAGAACCCAGGCGCUAUCACGAUUGCCAAUGCAGUGUUUGGGUCAAUGCCACCAAUAUCAGAUGAUGUUCUUGCCAAGGCAUUUCAGGUGGAAAAGAAUACAAUAGACUAUCUCCAGGCUCAAUUCUGGGAGAACAACCACUACUAA